AUUGUUUUGACAGAUUUGAAUGUGAUAAAUUUAGAAUUUAUAAAUGUAUAAUAUACAAACAAUA